rnacentral:rRNA from 1 species
GACGAACGCUGGCGGCGUGCCUAAUACAUGCAAGUAGAACGCACAGCUUAUACCGUAGCUUGCUACACCAUAGACUGUGAGUUGCGAACGGGUGAGUAACGCGUAGGUAACCUGCCUGGUAGCGGGGGAUAACUAUUGGAAACGAUAGCUAAUACCGCAUAAUAUUAAUUAUUGCAUGAUAAUUAAUUGAAAGGUGCAAUUGCACCACUACCAGAUGGACCUGCGUUGUAUUAGCUAGUAGGUGAGGUAACGGCUCACCUAGGCGACGAUACAUAGCCGACCUGAGAGGGUGAUCGGCCACACUGGGACUGAGACACGGCCCAGACUCCUACGGGAGGCAGCAGUAGGGAAUCUUCGGCAAUGGACGAAAGUCUGACCGAGCAACGCCGCGUGAGUGAAGAAGGUUUUCGGAUCGUAAAGCUCUGUUGUAAGAGAAGAACGGGUGUGAGAGUGGAAAGUUCACACUGUGACGGUAUCUUACCAGAAAGGGACGG